AGGGAUCAUUACUGAGUGAGGGUUUCGGCCCGACCUCCAACCCCUAUGUAUUCCGACUCUGUUGCCUCGGGGGCGACCCUGCCUUCGGGCGUUGGGGCCCCCGGUGGACACCAUAACUCUGCAUCUUUGCGUCUGAGUAACAUUUUGAAUUAAAUCAAAACUUUCAACAACGGAUCUCUUGGUUCUGGCAUCGAUGAAGAACGCAGCGAAAUGCGAUAAGUAAUGUGAAUUGCAGAAUUCAGUGAAUCAUCGAAUCUUUGAACGCACAUUGCGCCCCUUGGUAUUCCGAAGGGGCAUGCCUGUUCGAGCGUCAUUACACCACUCAAGCCUCGCUUGGUAUUGGGCGCCGCGCUUCGGCGCGCGCCUCAAUGUAUCCGGCUGAGCCGUCCGUCUCUAAGCGUUGUGGCACUAUGUUUCCGCUUCGGAGGUCGGGAGGUCUCGCGCCGUUAAACACCCCAUCAAAGGUUGACCUCGGAUCAGGUAGGGAUACCCGCUGAACUUAA
rnacentral:rRNA from 1 species